rnacentral:rRNA from 1 species
UACGUAGGGUGCAAGCGUUGUCCGGAAUUAUUGGGCGUAAAGAGCUCGUAGGCGGUUUGUCGCGUCUGCUGUGAAAACCCGAGGCUCAACCUCGGGCCUGCAGUGGGUACGGGCAGACUAGAGUGCGGUAGGGGGAGAUUGGAAUUCCUGGUGUAGCGGUGGAAUGCGCAGAUAUCAGGAGGAACACCAAGUGGCGAAGGCAGAUCUCUGGGCCGUAACUGACGCUGAGGAGCGAAAGCAUGGGGAGCGAACAGG